GAGCUCUGAGGCCCCGCGCGUAGGCGCCCGUGCUUCUCGCCACUGUUUAACCGGUCUCCGGAAAGCCUCGUCCAGCUCCAACACAGCCACGAAAGGGAGUCCAGAAUCAACCGCUGCUGCCUGAGGUCAACGUGCCCUCAUCUGUGUGGUCCCCGGGUCUUUCCCCGGAGUCGGACCUGGGCAGGUGGCCCACGUCCAGCUGAGUCUCCCAGGGCCGCGUCCCCCAGCUGUGCCACCCCUGGAGCCCGGCAUCCCCGGAAAAGGCCCCUCCUCUUCUCCACUUGAGAUGAAAAUACGAGUUCUCCGAUGGCGUUGGACCGCGGCCGGCCACGUCCGAGCUGCUUGCAAAGGAGAACCAUCGGAAAUAAUGAAUAGCCGCUCCAUGCAAAUUAUCCAGACAGUUUAGCGUCCGUUGCCGGGAGAGAUAUAUAAAGAACACGAGUCAAAUGACAUUAAUAAUUGUUUUUGAAUUCUGUA